rnacentral:tRNA from 2 species
UCCUCCUUAGCUCAGCUGGUUAGAGCAUCUGACUGUUAAUCAGAGGGUCGCUGGUUCAAGUCCAGCAGGGGGAGC